rnacentral:rRNA from 1 species
ACGAACGCUGGCGGUAUGCUUAACACAUGCAAGUCGAACGGGUGUAGCAAUACAUCAGUGGCAAACGGGUGAGGAAUAUAAAGGAAUCUCCCUAACAGUACGGAAUAACUCUGGGAAACCAGUGCUAAUACCGUAUAUUCCGCUUCGGCGGGAAAGAUUUAUCGCUGUUAGAUGAGCCUUUAUCGGAUUAGCUAGUUGGUAGGGUAAAGGCCUACCAAGGCGAUGAUCCGUAGCUGGUCUGGGAGGAUGAUCAGCCACACUGGAACUGAGACACGGUCCAGACUCCUACGGGAGGCAGCAGUGGGGAAUAUUGGACAAUGGGCGCAAGCCUGAUCCAGCAAUACCGCGUGAGUGAUGAAGGCCUUCGGGUUGUAAAGCUCUUUUAGGAGGGAAGAUAAUGACGGUACCUACAGAAAAAGCACCGGCAAACUUCGU